CCUACGGGAGGCAGCAGCUAAGAAUAUUCCGCAAUGGACGAAAGUCUGACGGAGCGACGGCGCGUGGAUGACGAAGGCCGAAAGGUUGUAAAGUCCUUUUGUUGGGGAAGAAUAAGGCUGGGAGGGAAUGCCCGGCUGAUGACAUGAACCGACGAAUAAGCCCCGGCUAACUACGUGCCAGCAGCCGCGGUAAU
rnacentral:rRNA from 1 species